rnacentral:rRNA from 1 species
GACGAACGCUGGCGGCGUGCCUAAUACAUGCAAGUAGAACGCUGAAGAGAGGAGCUUGCUCUUCUUGGAUGAGUUGCGAACGGGUGAGUAACGCGUAGGUAACCUGCCUUGUAGCGGGGGAUAACUAUUGGAAACGAUAGCUAAUACCGCAUAACAAUGGAUGACCCAUGUCAUUUAUUUGAAAGGGGCAAAUGCUCCACUACAAGAUGGACCUGCGUUGUAUUAGCUAGUAGGUGAGGUAACGGCUCACCUAGGCGACGAUACAUAGCCGACCUGAGAGGGUGAUCGGCCACACUGGGACUGAGACGCGGCCCAGACUCCUACGGGAGGCAGCAGUAGGGAAUCUUCGGCAAUGGGGGCAACCCUGACCGAGCAACGCCGCAUGAGUGAAGAAGGUUUUCGGAUCGUAAAGCUCUGUUGUAAGUCAAGAACGAGUGUGAGAGUGGAAAGUUCACACUGUGACGGUAGCUUACCAGAAAGGGACGGCUAACUACGUG